rfam:Ciona savignyi cont_23930, whole genome shotgun sequence.
UCCUCGUUAGUAUAGUGGUGAGUAUCCCUGCCUGUCACGCGGGAGACCGGGGUUCGAUUCCCCGACGGGGAG